rnacentral:rRNA from 1 species
UACGAAGGGGGCUAGCGGUGUUCGGAUUUACUGGGCGUAAAGGGCGCGUAGGCGGAUUUUUAAGUCGGGGGUGAAAUCCCGGAGCUCGACUCCGGAACUGCCUUCGAUACUGAAAGUCUGGAGCACGGUAGAGGUGAGUGGAAUUCCGAGUGUAGAGGUGAAAUUCGGAGAUAUUCGGAGGAACACCAGUGGCGAAGGCGGCUCACUGGACCGUUGCUGACGCUGAGGCGCGACAGCGUGGGGAGCAAACAGG